AACGAACGCUGGCGGCAGGCUUAACACAUGCAAGUCGAACGCAUGCCUUCGGGCAUGAGUGGCAGACGGGUGAGUAACGCGUGGGAACCUACCCCUUGGUACGGGAUAGCUCCGGGAAACUGGAGAUAAUACCGUAUGUGUCCUGAGGGACAAAGAUUCAUCGCCAAGGGAUGGGCCCGCGUCGGAUUAGCUAGUUGGUGGGGUAACGGCCUACCAAGGCGACGAUCCGUAGCUGGUCUAAGAGGAUGAUCAGCCACAUUGGGACUGAGACACGGCCCAAACUCCUACGGGAGGCAGCAGUGGGGAAUAUUGGACAAUGGGCGCAAGCCUGAUCCAGCCAUGCCGCGUGAGUGAUGAAGGCCCUAGGGUUGUAAAGCUCUUUCACCGGUGACGAUAAUGACGGUAACCGGAGAAGAAGCCCCGGCUAAUUUCGUG
rnacentral:rRNA from 1 species